rnacentral:rRNA from 1 species
UACAGAGGUCUCAAGCGUUGUUCGGAUUCAUUGGGCGUAAAGGGUGCGUAGGCGGCGCGGUAAGUCGGGUGUGAAAUCUCGGAGCUUAACUCCGAAACUGCAUUCGAUACUGCCGUGCUUGAGGACUGGAGAGGAGACUGAAUUUACGGUGUAGCGGUGAAAUGCGUAGAUAUCGUAAGGAAGACCAGUGGCGAAGGCGGGUCUCUGGACAGUUCCUGACGCUGAGGCACGAAGGUCAGGGGAGCAAACGGG